rnacentral:rRNA from 1 species
AACGAACGCUGGCGGCAUGCCUAAUACCUGCAAGUCGACCGAGACCUUCGGGUCUUGUUGCGAACGGGUGCGUAACGCGUGGGAAUCUGCCCCUAGGUUCGGCAUAACUUCCUGACAUGGGUGGUAAUACCGGAUCCUGUCUUCGGACCUAAGAUUUAACGCCUUUGGCUGGGCCCGCGUUGGAUUAGCUAGUUGGUAGGGUAAACGCCUACCAAGGCGACGAUCCAUAGCUGGUCUGAGAGGAUGAUCAGCCACACUGGGACUGAGACACGGCCCAGACUCCUACGGGAGGCAGCAGUGGGGAAUAUAGGACAAUGAGCGAAAGCCUGAGCCAGCAAUGCCGCGAGAGUGAGGAAGGCCUUAGGGUUGUAAAGCUCUUUUACCCGAGAUGAUAAUGACGGUACCGGGAGAAUAAGCUCCGGCUAACUCCGUG